rnacentral:lncRNA from 1 species
CAAAAGAAAACUGGUAGAAAUUUAAUUCCCUCUGGAUUAAAAUGAAAUUGCUCCCGUGACGCAAUAAUAAAUUAAUUAAGAUUAAUGUGGCAAUUGGGUUAAUUUUUCAAGAGGUUUGUGUCAAUAACAUUUAAUUUAAACCAGAUGAUGCAAAAACCAAUCUAGUUACAACACUUCUAAUACAUAGUGUUUACCAAUCAAGAGUCCAUUGUUUCAUUUAAAUACCUAACAAUUGAAACAUUUUAAAAUAGACAAAAGAGUUCAUUAUUGUUGAUAGCCCUAUACAGAGCGAAACCAAAAAGAUUUUUUUAUCGCUAGUAAAGUCCUAGUUACGAAAUAAAAAUAUAAUUUUCAUUACUUUUAAAGAAGUGUCUACGUAAUUUUUAUGUUAUCUAUAGUGAAUUAUCUUAUUGCAUAAACAUUGAACGUAUUAAUUAAUAACAAGGAAAUCAUAUAUGACAAACUGUCUCAUAAACAGGGACGUAAUCAGGCUCUUUUUCCUUUUUCUUCUUAGUGAUAUCUACAAUCAAUUUUUGGAAAAGAACAUUUUAAAAGUAACAGGCCUUGGUAAAAUUAUCAGUUUUACACUUUUUUGAAUAAUUAAUACAUUUGAGAAGUUUGCGUUAGUCUUCGUGGAUAUUUAACGACUCAAUCAGAAAGGCAACGAAUACAGAAAGAUGGGCCCCGCAUUCACGUUUCUGGUCAUUUUGAUCAUCCACCUUCAGUCAAAUGACGUUUCAGAACAAGCGUCUGUAACCGAAUGUACAAGAAACACAUGUGGUCAAAAUGCCCACUGUACCAUCGCAGGAGGACGUCCUGAAUGUUCCUGUUUUAAUGGGUACACCGGUGACCCCCUGACCUACUGCAGGAAGGGAGAGUGUCAAGACAACUCGGAAUGUAGAGGAUACUUGUCCUGUAUUAACGAAAAAUGCGUUAAUCCUUGUAAAGGAUCCUGUGGUGUCAAUGCCAAGUGCGAGGUUAAAAAUCACGUACCCGUUUGCUCGUCCCCCGGGAUGUACGGGAGACCCGUCUAAUUCCUGCAGGAAAGUAAAACUACAGAAUUGCGAAAAAAAGUACCUACAUAUUUAAAUGAUGGACUACUAACACUUCAAUAAAUGAUUAUAUACUUCAA